rnacentral:lncRNA from 1 species
UUUUUUUUUUUUUUUUUUUAAACCGCUUUUACCACCUUGGUCACUCAUGCCUGUUUUUCUCAGCCUGCCGCCUAUGGCUGGAAACAAGGUGCCACCAGCGCUGGCCUCACACCAACCGGACAGGAAGGGCCGAGGUGGCUGGGUCUGGGAGGAGACGGAGCAUCCUGCAAAGAGGGUCAAGGGCGGCGAGGAUGAAGAGCCCCCACGCAAGCUGCCAAAGCGAAAAAUUGUGCUGCUCAUGGCCUACUCGGGCAAGGGCUACCACGGCAUGCAGGUGAGGAGGGCUGCGGCUAGAAGCCCCUACCUGAGGCAGCCCUUGGUUCCCUGAUGCUACUCAGAGCCAGGCCCAUCCCAGGAAACAGUAAAAAAAAAAACAAAAACAAGCAAAACAAAAACCAAAAAUCCACAGAAUCCUCCGUAAGAGGUUUGGGUGGUUUUCUUCCACUAUGGGAGCUGAUUCACAUGUGACCUUGGGAGCAGUGAGUCUUCAUUGUUAGGGUGCUGCCUGCACAGUACCUGGGGAACUGUGUGACAUGGGCAGAUUUACUGAAUGUGGGGACCAGAUUGCUGCCAGGUGCUACCUGUUCAGCAUCCUGAGGGGCCAGGGGCAAGCUAGGUUCUCUCUCUUAUGAAAGCAUCCUUCCCACCCCCAGUGUGGGUAGAAUCUUGUUCAUUCUUGUCACCUCUGCUGUUGACAUUUCCUUUUAAAAAAAAAAUUGGAUAUUUUAUUUACAUUUCAAAUGUUAUCCCCUUUCCCUGUUUUCCCCACUCCCGGAAACCCCUAUCCCAUCCCCCCUGCUUCUAUGAGGGUGUUCCUCCACCCAUCCCACUCCCACCUCCCUGCCCUCGAUUCCCCUACACUGGACUGGAGCAUCUAUCUAGCCUUCAUAGGACCGAGGACCUUUCUUCUCAUUAAUGUCUGACAAGGCCACCCUCUGCUACAUAUGCAGCUGGAGACAUGUGUACUCCUUGGUUGAUGGCUUAGUCCCUGGGAGCUCCAGGAGGUCUGGUUGGCUAAUAUUGUUCUUCCUAUGGGGUUGCAAACCCCUUCAACUCCAUUGUUUGAAUUUGUAAUUUUCUCUAAGACAAAUUUGAACCUUUUAAUUUCUUCGGUGUAUAUGGGUGGUUUGCCUGCCUGCUUGUCUGUGUGCUGUGUGCACGUUCUGCUCACAGGCCAGGAGAGGGUGUACCAUCCCCUGGGGCUGGAGUGACAGGCAUUUGUGAGCUGCCAUCUGGGUGCUGAGAAUCAAGUCCAGUCCUCUAGAAGAGCUGCCAGUGCUCUUAACUGCUGAGCCGUCUCUCUGGUCACUUUCCCCACUUUUUAAAACCUUGAUCUUGAGCCACAGGGUGGAGUUCGUUGCUGUGAGGUGUCCAACCAGAACAGUGGCUCCGGAACGGAGUCUGACCAGACAUUAUGGUGACUUUGAGAAUGAAUGACAGCGGUGUCAUGUAGCCCGACUGGGAUGGUGCUGCAUAGCCGGUCUUCCUGGCAUCCGGGAAGUUGCUGCAGGAGGAUUGCCAAGUUCAAGGAUAGUCUGGGCUACAGUCAGGCUUUGUCCCUCUCCAGUGAGAAACACAUAGGCUUCAGCAGUGAAACUCAGCGUGCCUUCGGGCUGGACAGGGCUUUCACGUGGCCUAGGCUGUGGCAUUCCUGAGGAAGCGCAGACUGCACUGCUUCUGGGGCGACUGGUCUGCUUUUGGGGAGUGGUUCUGACAGUGCGAGUUUUUUGUUUUUUUUAAAGGCUCUCUUUUCUCAGUAAAUAUCCUGUUUAUCUCUCUUUACCCACUUGAGGUAUGACAGAGAUGCCCGUCUCACGUUGCUAAGUGAGGCUUGUGUUCACUUUUUGUUCUGGUCUUUUUAUGUCGCUUGGGAAGUGUUCCUGACUUCGUCUGUGGCAACGGGACACAAUGGGUAGAGCAGGCUAUGAAAAGACUGUCUCAGCCAGGGAGCGUGGUUGAAGUGUUCACAUGCCCUGCUAUCCACGUGGGAAGGUUUUUCCCUGAGAGUCUUGGACCUAGUCUCUAUUGUGAGGAUUGGUGGGAUGCUGACGUGGUGUCUGACCUCACGGGGUCAAGGACACCAUAAACAUAGGGUUAGGGAAGGCUGAGAGGCACAACGCUGGAGCUGGUUGCAGAAGUGAUGGUCAGCUUUCUGGAGUGCAUCUGUCCUGAGAGCUCAUGAAAACAGGUUAUCCCCUUUUUUCUUUAGAGGAAUCUGGGGUCCUCCCAGUUCAGGACCAUCGAAGAUGACUUGGUAUCGGCCUUAGUCCAGGCAGGUUGUAUCCCUGAAAACCAUGGCACAGAUAUGAGGAAGAUGUCCUUCCAGCGGUGUGCUCGAACAGACAAGGUAUGUGUCCUACUUGCCUGCGGCUUCUACUGUCCCAUGGUCUCAGGGUCCACCUGUCAGAAGGGAUCCUAGCCAGGUGGUCAUGACUGUUGAGUCAUGAUAGCAAUUUUGAUAGUAGUGGCAUGGUGUGUAUUCUGUUUUACUU